UACGUAGAUCCCGAGCGUUGUCCGGAUUUAUUGGGCGUAAAGCGAGCGCAGGUGGUUUAUUAAGUCUGGUGUAAAAGGCAGUGGCUCAACCAUUGUAUGCAUUGGAAACUGGUAGACUUGAGUGCAGGAGAGGAGAGUGGAAUUCCAUGUGUAGCGGUGAAAUGCGUAGAUAUAUGGAGGAACACCGGUGGCGAAAGCGGCUCUCUGGCCUGUAACUGACACUGAGGCUCGAAAGCAUGGGGAGCAAACAGG
rnacentral:rRNA from 1 species